CCAGCAGGUUUUGCGCUUUCGUUUCCUAAUCUUUCCUAUUAGAAUCCUCGUAGGUUAGAGGUAAAGCACUGGUCUUCCACCAUCAGGGCCACAGUUCAAGUCUCCGUCCCUUUUUCUGUUCAUACAUUAACAGUCAUUUGUUAUGACUUAAACUGAGUUGAUAGACUUUGAGGGAGGCAAGGAUAUAUUUAUUGUGAGAGCCUCAGGGCUGAGGGAAGGAGGUUCAGUUGGUGCAACUGACAGAGACGUUAAGAGUUCUUUUUCAAAAUCUUUCCUGUUAGCAGCUUCAUUACUAAUCUAUUAGGUGCUCGACCCGCAACCAUAAGGGCCACGGUUCGAGCCUUUGGUCCAUUUUUAGUACUAUAUACUUUGUUCCAAAGUUCUUAGGUUCGAGUAUGUAUGUAUACACUCAGUGGCUACUACCUUCUAAUUCUGGGUAGGGUUUCCCUUUGUCCCCAGAACAGCCCGAAUUCUUCGUUGCAUGGAUUAAACAAGGUGCUUUUUCAAGUUAUUUCUAUAAUACGAUUCUCACACUCGUACUUACACCGGUCAAUAACAAUGCGGACCUUCUGUGUUUACUCGCAGGUCCAAAGAAAUCACGGAAUGUGCCGCCUGAUGUGGGUAUGUCGCAUCAUUAUCGCAUUUGUGAGUUUGGUGGCUUCGACUGCCUGAAGAAGGAGAACUUGGUGGACAGGAGAGCACACAACUGGUUGGUGCCUCUGGUCAAGAGUGUCGCCAACGCCUGCACCAAAAUAUUUCCAUUACUUGGAAAAUGUCCUGAGGCGCCACCGCUUGGGUCUCCAUGGUAAGGUACCACGGAGACGUAAAAUACCGUGCCUCCCUUGGAGUCUCCAUGGUAAGGCACCACGUGGAUCUCACGACCGUGCCUUCAACGCUUUUCCAACAACCUGUGAUCCUUGCAUUUGUGAAGCAGCCAUGAAUCAUGUCACGUUGUCAGGAUAGAUCUGCGUCUACAAUUUCGUUAUUAACAGUGCCGACGGAUUUGAGUUCCAUUCAAUUCGGAGUACAAACCCGAAUUAAGUCAGAAUCAAAUUUGAUUCGGAGUAUAUUGAAAUGGAACUCACGUGUUCCCACUAGAUCCGUGAGCGACCAUCACGUAGCACAUUGUAGCUGUAAUUAUUAGUAACACUGAUGACAGAUCUAGUGGAAAUAAUUUAAUUACUGUGUUACAGUGCAAAACUUCAGUGUUAACAUCAGCUGUCAGAGGGAGAACCUCACUGAAGGAUACAUACAUUAGAAUACAUAAUGAGUUUAACGUGUCACGAUGAAGGACAGCAAAAUAAUAUUUUUGAAACGAAGACUGAAGAAAAAUCAUGUUUACAAUGUAAUAGUGCUGCUAAUCUCCUAGAAUAUUUUUUUUAUUAAAAACAAGGGCAACUAUGUUAUCAUACAGAAAGGGGAGGAACUUCAUAAAGUUGCUGAACAGUGUAAGCAUUAUAUUAACUAUCUGUCAUGAUGAAUGGUUUGAAAAACCGACAAGUUGAAGAUUGAGACAAUUAUGCAACAUAUGGGAAUCUUUAUUCAGGAAACGUUUCGCCACACAGUGGCUUCAUCAGUCCGAUACAAAGUAGAAAUGGUUUUUCAAACCAUUCAUCACAACUGUCUGACACUGCAGCAUCAUGGGAUCUUGUUACAAAGAAUUCUUCAACACUUGUCCAACCUUUGGAAGAAGACCUACUUCGACUAGUGGAUGGUACCACUAUGACCUCACCUCCUCCUGCUUCGCCUCACCUCACUACAGUAUAUAAGCCACGUCUACGGCCCUAUGCUGUACAUUCUACAAGAUUGAUGGACUGAACACAUCGACUCCAGGCUGAGGGACUGAUUACCUCAAACUCCUCCUCUCCUUACGCCUUUCUACUUUGUAUCGGACUGAUGAAGCCACUGUGUGGCGAAACGUUUCCUGAAUAAAGAUUCCCAUAUGUUGCAUAAUUGUCUCAAUCUUCAAGUAUCUGUCAUACUGAUGGUUGUGAUAAUCUUCGGAAAACAUUCACAUGGCGUUUGUCCUUGAAAUUUGAGCUUGAGUGUCAUGUAAUGCAACUCACCCAAGCCUUAAAACAUUUAAACUAUCGGAAGUGGAACUUUAAAUGUUCAGGCAUUACUCCCAUAACUACACCAUUCUACCACUUACAUAACUAUUACGAUGUAACUAAGUAAUUGGCCUGCUUUAGUUAGGAAUCAUAGUCCACACAUCUCGGUGUAAGAACUGUCAGAGAACUCUAGCGUCAUGCAAAGCAGGAGGGGAAGAUCAGGAGAAGGACACAGUGUCCUUCAGAUACACUGAGGUAGUAAACACGAUAUCCCUGUCUUACAAUGAGGCAAAAAGACAAAGAUUCUUCGAGAUGCAUAGAGGGGAAAGGACAAGUCAUCUAGAGAUACAAUGAGGUGGAGAAAGGUAUCUUUGAAUUACACCGAAGCGAAAGAAUAUAUUCUUUCCCUAACAUACACCCAAGUAGACGGACUAGGGAUACCUUAUAUACUGAGUAGAAGAACAAGGUAUCCUUGAGACACACCAAAGUCUUGGUCAUAUGGAAUCUAGACAAUACCAGCCCUGGUCCGGAGGGUUCCCGGGUACACUGCUAGCCUUCCACUGAAUCAUCGAGUUACAGUGUUAAUAAAUGUGAGGUUAGUAAUAACGGAAGUACUUACAAUGAUAGAAGAAGCUGUAGUAGUUCCUAGUCUUUACAAUAAGACACUUUUUUCCUAGAUGAGAGAACUCUUCUCUCAGCUUUAUGGACGGUUUCGCAGUUUAAAUAAUGAAGUGGGUUGGUUUCUACACAAAGGUUGAUGAAUACAUUAUCAAGGAUAGUAGGCUGCAGCAGCGGCUAGUGGCAGUAGCAGUGAAAAGACAUUCAGACAAAAUUUUUAUUGACAUUUUAUUUUUGUGAUGUGUUUGUCUCGAGUAGGUCAUGCAGCACAAGGAUUGGAGGCUCCAUUAUUAUUACAAUCAAGGGGAAAGCGCUAAACCAGUAGGAUUAUAAGCGCCUGUUGGGUGGAUGUGGAAGGCAUUCAGGCUUAAUUCAGGGAACUCGACUACAGAUCCAAUUCCCUAGAUCAAAAGUCCCUCACCAGCAUCAUGGAACCUUCCUUGAGUGAUGGAGGCUCCAUCUACCACUCGCUAAACGCAGAACAAACACUACUAAACUGUAAUUAUCUAGUCCUUAUACAUCUGUGAAGAACCCAACCCAGUCCACUAUUUCAACCUAAUGCAUAGACCGCCACGGAGACUAGACAGAUCCAAACUCACUUAAGAGGCAUUUCAAUAGGGGUCCACACGAAGCUCAAAAUGAUAACUCCAGAAGCAGUUUUUUUUAGGCCAGGAAACAGAAUAUUCUCUUUCGGUUCAAUCUGAUCCAUAGAUCCAGAGUGAUGAUCAAUCAGAAGUUACUGUCAGUAUUAUCUUAAUGUCAACUCCAGCACUACGUAUAACUGUGUCAGUAUAAAUGCUACAGUCGCUUAUGUAUAAAUAUAGGAUUACAUUGCUGAAAUCUGGAAUAUGAUAGGAUUGUAAGUAUGUGCAUUUUAUUUAAAUAAUAUAAUACAUUACACAAAA